GACGAACGCUGGCGGCGUGCUUAACACAUGCAAGUCGAACGGUAAGGCCCUUCGGGGUACACGAGUGGCGAACGGGUGAGUAACACGUGGGUGAUCUGCCCUGCACUUCGGGAUAAGCCUGGGAAACUGGGUCUAAUACCGGAUAGGACCACUGCCUGCAUGGGUGGUGGUGGAAAGCUUUUGCGGUGUGGGAUGGGCCCGCGGCCUAUCAGCUUGUUGGUGGGGUGAUGGCCUACCAAGGCGACGACGGGUAGCCGGCCUGAGAGGGGGACCGGCCACACGGGGACUGGGAUACGGCCCAGACUCCUACGGGAGGCAGCAGUGGGGAAUAUUGCACAAUGGGCGCAAGCCUGAUGCAGCGACGCCGCGUGAGGGAUGACGGCCUUCGGGUUGUAAACCUCUUUCAGCACCGACGAAGCGCAAGUGACGGUAGGUGCAGAAGAAGGACCGGCCAACUACGUGCCAGCCGCCGCCGUAA
rnacentral:rRNA from 1 species